AAGGUACCUCCAAAGGAAGCUCCGGCUAACUCCGUGCCAGCAGCCGCGGUAAUACGGAGGGAGCAAACGUGUGUUCGGAUUUACUGGUGUGUAAAGGGUGCGUAGGCGGCUACGUGUGUCAGAGGUGAAAGCUCACGGCUCAACCGUGGAACUGCCUUUGGAACUGCGUACUUGGAGUCCGAGAGAGGAUGGUGGAAUUCCUGGUGUAACGGUGAAAUGUGCAGAUAUCAGGAAGAACACCGGUGCCGAAGCCGGCCUNUCUGCUCCGGCACUCCCGCUGAGGCACGAAACCUAGGGUAUCGCACGGGAUUAGAUCCCCCGGUAGUCCUAGCCGUAAACGAUUCCACUAGGUGUCGGAGUCCUACCCCUUCGGUGCCGGAGUAACGCAUUAAGUGGACCACCUGGGGAGUACGCCUCGCAAGGGUGAAACUCAAAGGAAUUGACGGGGGCCCGCACACGCGGUGGAGCAUCUGGUUUAAUCCGCUCCAACGCGAAGACCCUUACCUGGGCUUGACAUGCAGGGGACAGGUGUAGAGAUACACCCUUCUUCGGACUCCUGUACAGGUGCUGCAUGGCUGUCGUCAGCUCGUGUCGUGAAAUGUUGGGUUAAGUCCCGCAACGAGCGCAACCCUUGUCCUUAGUUGCCAGCACGUCAUGGUGGGAACUCUAGGGAGACUGCCGGUGACAAACCGGAGGAAGGUGGGGACGACGUCAAGUCAUCAUGGCCCUUACGUCCAGGGCUACACACGUGCUACAAUGGCACAUACAGAGGGCAGCGAACCCGCGAGGGGAAGCCAAUCCCAAAAAGUGUGCCUCAGUUCGGAUCGCAGUCUGCAUCUC
rnacentral:rRNA from 1 species